GGCUACACAAAGAAACCCUGUCUCAAAAAACAAAAAAAGUUAAAUUUUGUAAAUAGCAUAAUUCCUGUUAUGUAAGAUUUAUUUACUCUGCUCUAGGUUGGGUCUCUAGUACAAUGAUUAGGACAUGAAAACCAAAUUACUUAGUGAACAAAGUUUAAAUCACUAAGAGCAGAGCAGAGCACUUUACAGCUGAAGUUCAGUGAGAGCAUCCACCUGCCGAUGGGGCUGUGGUCAGGGAAGGACUUUGUAACCCACCGCCUAGAACCUUCUGUGUAAUGAAGGGUGGCCCAAACUCCCCUCUCUAUCUCCUACAUGCUGGGAUGACAGGUGUGUGUCAUUAUGCCUGACUGGAUUUCUAGCUAGAAUAACUUGAGAGAUUACACUGGGACAGUGGAAAGGAGUGACAAGGCUACACAGAGGUAAACAUCACGGUUGUGUCUGUUUACCCUGACAGGAUGGAGCUCUAGCAGAACCAAUCAUGCAGGAAAGAACACUAUUUCAUAGGACUUCCUAGGUAAAAAAAGAAAAAACUUCAAAAACAGGAACCAGACUAUAUAAAGUAACCAUACUUAGCCAGUAAUCUAAACUAAAAGCAAAGCUAUGUUUAUUUUGUAUAUAAAAUGAUAGUUGUAGUGAUCCAGUCUACUCCUAAAGCUUUUUAAAUCAGUCGAUGACAACCAGCUUUAGUUACACCAACACAGACCAGGUAGAGCAUCUGAGCAGUAAACACACGCUUCAGUAGAGUGCAGCUACUCCCGCCUUCUCACACGAACACCUAUGAGUAGCCUGGAACUGUACACAUCUUACAAACCGGGAGGCUAAGACUCAACAGCUAAUUUCUCACUGCUGUCGCCUCUACAGUCCCUGAGAGACUCCUUCCUGGACCUGGGCCCUACUUGCUGGUCUGGCCUCUGUGCUGGCUGGGGGUUCCUUGUGGAAUCACCGGGAAACGCUUGUUCAUUUCCUCCCACGGAGUCAGGCGUAAGGGCCUGGGUGCUGAGCAAGGCAAGUUCUUCAUCAGCUACUGAAUCACAGUCCGGCAGAGAAACGCCACUGGUCUUCUGAAAUGGCGUUCUCCUCCGCGGGGAACUGGGUUCUUUUUUAAUAGGUGUUGCGUAUUUCGUGCCACAGCUCCGUGGCGGCUGAAAAGCCUUCUGUGCAGCUGGAGAGACAAAGGUACAGAUGGGACUGACCGGGGACGGUAAGGGCAGCCGACUUAGGAAAUCCAAGGCUCUUCUUUUUCGACAGGUUUUUGGGUCAUCAAUCUCGUUCUCUCCACUCCAAGACUUUGCUGCCAUCUGGGCUGAGUGAGCCAGGGGCAUAGACUUCCCUUUCAGUGUGCAGUGUGAUAAAGGACUUUGAUAACUUUGCUGACCAGUAGGUGAAAUCCUCUAACAAAACACACAAAAGAGGAGCCUAUCAUAAUAAACACUUGUAUAUAAAUAAAUUAGAAUUAACCUUUCAUUAGAAAAUACCUAUAUACACCAACAGGACACCUUUCCUUUCCAAUUGCUAAAGGGUAAAUAAUGCCAAACAUUCAUGCUCUUAUUCCUCACCCACAGGAAAUAAUUUUGCAAAGUGACAGAUGUAUAAAAAUGGCCAGAAAUGAGUCGGGCGUGGUGCCGCAUGCCUUUAAUCCCAGCACUCGGGAGGCAGAGGCAGGCAGAUUUCUGAGUUCAAGGCCAGCCUGGUCUACAAAGUGAGUUCCAGGACAGCCAGGGCUAUACCUGUCUCGAAAAACC
rnacentral:lncRNA from 1 species